AAGGCGCAGCCAACUGCGUGAAUUAGUGUGAAUUGCAGGAUAUCUUGAACAUCGACAUCUUGAACGCAUAUUGCGGCCUCAGGUCUCCCCUGUGGCCACGCCUGGCCGAGGGUCG
rfam:Macrostomum lignano unitig_47427, whole genome shotgun sequence.